ACGAACGCUGGCGGCGUGCUUAACACAUGCAAGUCGAACGGAAAGGCCCUGCUUGCAGGGUACUCGAGUGGCGAACGGGUGAGUAACACGUGGGUGUUCUGCCCUGCACUUCGGGAUAAGCCUGGGAAACUGGGUCUAAUACCGGAUAGGAGCCAUUUUUAGUGUGAUGGUUGGAAAGUUUUUUCGGUGUAGGAUGAGCUCGCGGCCUAUCAGCUUGUUGGUGGGGUAAUGGCCUACCAAGGCGGCGACGGGUAGCCGGCCUGAGAGGGUGGACGGCCACAUUGGGACUGAGAUACGGCCCAGACUCCUACGGGAGGCAGCAGUGGGGAAUAUUGCACAAUGGGCGCAAGCCUGAUGCAGCGACGCCGCGUGGGGGAUGACGGCCUUCGGGUUGUAAACUCCUUUCGCUAGGGACGAAGCUUUUUGUGACGGUACCUAGAUAAGAAGCACCGGCUAACUACGUG
rnacentral:rRNA from 1 species